rnacentral:rRNA from 1 species
GACGGAGGGGGCAAGCGUUGUCCGGAAUCACUGGGCGUAAAGAGCGUGUAGGCGGCCCGGUAAGUCCGCUGUGAAAGUCCAGGGCUCAACCCUGGGAUGCCGGUGGAUACUGUCGGGCUCGAGUCCGGAAGAGGAGUGUGGAAUUCCUGGUGUAGCGGUGAAAUGCGCAGAUAUCAGGAGGAACACCAAUGGCGAAGGCAGCACUCUGGGACGUGACUGACGCUGAGACGCGAAAGCGUGGGGAGCAAACAGG